UUGAAUUAUAAUCUAUGUUUUGAUACUAAGUUUUUUGACUUUAUUAAUAGCUAUUUAAUUAACUUUUGAAUGUAGCUCUAUAAAAAGUCAUGCACUUUGACACACCUGUGCAUAUAGUCGUAGCAAUAACAAAUUACCAGAGAAUGGUUCACCUAAGUAUACAUAUAGAUGAAAAACCAGUUUUCAGUAAAUUUUUACAUUUGUGAACUAUGAAGAUUUCUACAGAUAUGACAGAGAACAGAGGUAAAGAACUAUACAAUAAUAGUUUUUUGUUACUGUUUUUCUGUAGAAAAAGAAAUUCUGUAAUGAUGGAUAUGAUUCAGCGUGCCAUAUGUCAUCUUGUUAAAUAACAGUAUUUUUUUAGGGAUGUGCUGAAGCUUUGAAAAACUUUCUUCGAGAUAAAAUAUAUGUUUUGGGAGGUGUUGGAGUUGGGAUAGCUUUUAUUCAGAUUAUUGGAAUCACCUUUGCAUGUUGCCUGGCAUGUAAUCAAGAUAACAGUUAAAUCUAUUACUUGUUUUGACAUAGAAAAAGAAAUCAUCAUGGACAUUGUUUUUUAAUUGAAGCUUUUUUUCUUAAAUUUUUAGCUCAUUGAAUGUUUUACUAUAUUUAAAGAAAAGAUAAUUACAUAGUUAUUGAAAGUAUUUUAAUUUUUUAAGGUUCUAAUGAAUUAUUUCUUAUUAGGUUGAAACUAAUUAGAGUAUAUCAUCACUGUAAAAUAUUAAACAUUUGAAGUUAAGACAAAACAAACAUAAGUAAAUUAAGCUGUUAAUAAAACCCGAUAUUAAUAUCAUUAAGAGAAUUUGAAGUACCUGUGAAACAACUGAUAAUUAGUUCAGGCAGAUUACUUAUAAAAUUUAAUUAUUAAAUACUUUAUUCAGUCACUGUACUCAGUAAAAUAUUUAACAAAAUAUAUGGGAAGAUUAUGUAGUCAGAACAACUAAUUUGCUUGUUCUUUGCAUGAUUUAAUUAUUGCCGAGGUAGUGUUGUACAAAACAUUUUGGUAUGAUCACAAAUGAUGUUAAUAUAGCAGUGAUGAGUAACCAUUCUGGUUUUAUAAACUUGCAGCAAAGUUUUCAGUUCAGUUUCCAGAAUAAAUGAUUCUUACGAAA